rnacentral:misc_RNA from 1 species
CCGAGUUCAUGCCCGUACGGGUAGAUCUCCCACCCUAUGUUAUAUUACCUUUGUUGCUUUGGCAGGCCGUCAGGCUUCGGUCAGGCUACCGGCUCCGGCUGGUAAGCGCCUGCCAGAGGACCCCAAACUCUGAAUAUUAGUGUUGUCUGAGUACUAUAAAAUAACCAA